CAGCCGCCACGGUAAUACGAGGGGGGCAAGCGUUGUUCGGAAUUAUUGGGCGUAAAGGGCUCGCAGGCGGUUUCUUAAGUCUGAUGUGAAAGCCCCCGGCUCAACCGGGGAGGGUCAUUGGAAACUGGGAAACUUGAGUGCAGAAGAGGAGAGUGGAAUUCCACGUGUAGCGGUGAAAUGCGUAGAGAUGUGGAGGAACACCAGUGGCGAAGGCGACUCUCUGGUCUGUAACUGACGCUGAGGAGCGAAAGCGUGGGGAGCGAACAGGAUUAGAUACCCGAGUAGUCCCUGUCUCUUAUAC
rnacentral:rRNA from 1 species